CCUACGGGAGGCAGCAGUGAGGAAUAUUGGUCAAUGGACGAGAGUCUGAACCAGCCAAGUAGCGUGAAGGAUGACUGCCCUAUGGGUUGUACACUUCUUUUAUAUGGGAAUAAACUGUUCCACGUGUGGGAUUUUGUAUGUACCAUAUGAAUAAGGAUCGGCUAACUCCUUGCCAUCAGCCGCGGUAAUACGGAGGAUCCGAGCGUUAUCCGGAUUUAUUGGUGUUCACGGGAGCGGAGGUGGAGUGUUAAGUCAGUUGUGGAAGUUUGCGGCUCAACCGUAAAAUUGCAGUUGAAACUGGCAGUCUUGAGUACAGUAGAGGUGGGCGGAAUGCGUGGUGUAGCGGUGAAAUGCUUAGAUAUCACGAAGAACUCCGAUUGCGAAGGCAGUUCACUGGACUGCAACUGACACGGAGGCUCGAAAGUGUGGGUAUCAAACAGGAUUAGAUACCCCAGUAGUC
rnacentral:rRNA from 1 species